UGUUGGACCAGGUCGUAAGCCACAGUGGGAACUCUCUAAGCAGAGCUGGUACCUAUCAUUGCCAGGCGGCCAGUUCUGCCUUUGCCCUGGCGUGUUUCCCACACCAUGGAGCAGGUAGAAGAAGUCGCAGUUUCCUCACCACCAUGGGCACGUUGCCUCUGCCUUCAGAUCAUGGUUUGUCACGGAACAUUGCCUGAGUCUUGGCUCCUCACCUUCCUCUGUUCGACCAGCAAACUCC
rnacentral:lncRNA from 1 species